rnacentral:rRNA from 1 species
CUCCUACGGGAGGCAGCAGUGGGGAAUUUUGGACAAUGGGCGCAAGCCUGAUCCAGCAAUGCCGCGUGAGUGAAGAAGGCCUUCGGGUUGUAAAGCUCUUUCAGUUGAGAAGAAAAGAUUCUGGCUAAUAUCUAGAAUCCAUGACGGUAUCGACAGAAGAAGCACCGGCUAACUACGUGCCAGCAGCCGCGGUAAUACGUAGGGUGCAAGCGUUAAUCGGAAUUACUGGGCGUAAAGGGUGCGCAGGUGGUUUUGUAAGUCAGAUGUGAAAUCCCCGGGCUUAACCUGGGAAUUGCGUUUGAAACUACAAGACUAGAGUGUGGCAGAGGGGGGUGGAAUUCCAUGUGUAGCAGUGAAAUGCGUAGAGAUAUGGAAGAACAUCGAUGGCGAAGGCAGCCCCCUGGGUUAACACUGACACUCAUGCACGAAAGCGUGGGGAACAAA